UGAGGAAUUUUGCGCAAUGGGAGCAAUCCUGACGCAGCAACGCCGCGUGGGUGAUGAAGGCCUUCGGGUCGUAAAGCCCUGUCAGGUGGGAAGAAUGUCCCGGGACUGAACAGGUUUUGGGAGUGACGGUACCACCAGAGGAAGCACCGGCUAACUCCGUGCCAGCCGCCGCGGUAAUACGGAGGGUGCAAGCGUUAUUCGGAAUUACUGGGCGUAAAGCGCGUGUAGGCGGUCCUGUAAGGUGGAUGUGAAAGCCGCGGGCUUAACCCGGGAAGGGCAUGGGAAACUGUGGGACUUGAGUACUGGAGAGGCUGGGGGAAUUCCCGGUGUAGAGGUGAAAUUCGUAGAGAUCGGGAGGAAUAUCAGUGGCGAAGGCGCCCAUCUGGACGGUAACUGACGCUGAGACGCGAAAGCGUGGGGAGCAAACA
rnacentral:rRNA from 1 species